GGGAGGAGUUCCAGGAAAACGUUGCUAAAUGGGAGAAAGAAAAGGCCAAUUUCUUGAAGCAGCUUGAAGCACGACAAAUUGACAGCAAGGACAGCAAUAUCAGCAGCCCGAAGAUUUCAGGCACCUCGGCUAAACUUCAUGAGAGAAUUACAGACCUUCAGAAAGAAAAAUUAGAUCUUGAAGAAAAACUACAGACUUCAGCUAAGGAGCUCAGGGCAUUGGAAGGAGAUCUCAAUUCCGUAAAGACAGAAAGCGAAAAGCGAGUUUCAGAGUUA